UACAGAGGUCUCAAGCGUUGUUCGGAUUCAUUGGGCGUAAAGGGUGCGUAGGUGGCGCUGUAAGUCGGGUGUGAAAUUUCGGAGCUUAACUCCGAAACUGCAUUCGAUACUGCCGUGCUUGAGGACUGGAGAGGAGACUGGAAUUCAUGGUGUAGCAGUGAAAUGCGUAGAGAUCAUGAGGAAGACCAGUGGCGAAGGCGGGUCUCUGGACAGUUCCUGACACUGAGGCACGAAGGCCAGGGGAGCAAACGGG
rnacentral:rRNA from 1 species